CCUACGGGUGACAGCAGUGGGGAAUAUUGGGCAAUGGGCGCAAGCCUGACCCAGCAACGCCGCGUGAAGGAAGAAGGCUUUCGGGUUGUAAACUUCUUUUCUCAGGGACGAAGCAAGUGACGGUACCUGAGUAAUAAGCCACGGCUAACUACGUGCCAGCAGCCGCGGUAAUACGUAGGUGGCAAGCGUUAUCCGGAUUUACUGGGUGUAAAGGGCGUGUAGGCGGGGACGCAAGUCAGAUGUGAAAACCACGGGCUGAACCUGUUGCCUGCAUUUGAAACUGUGUUUCUUGAGUACUGGAGAGGCAAUCGGAAUUCCGUGUGUAGCGGGGAAAUGCGUAGAUAUACGGAGGAACACCAGUGGCGAAGGCGGAUUGCUGGACAGUAACUGACGCUGAGGCGCGAAAGCGUGGGGAGCAAACAGGAUGAGAUACCCUUGUAGUC
rnacentral:rRNA from 1 species